rnacentral:rRNA from 1 species
ACUGCUCAGUAACACGUAGUCAACAUGCCCAGGGGACGUGGAUAACCUCGGGAAACUGAGGAUAAACCGCGAUAGGUCAUCACUUCUGGAAUGGGUAAUGACUUAAACCUAUAUGGCCCCUGGAUUGGACUGCGGCCGAUCAGGCUGUUGGUGAGGUAAUGGCCCACCAAACCUGUAACCGGUACGGGCUCUGAGAGGAGGAGCCCGGAGAUGGGCACUGAGACAAGGGCCCAGGCCCUAUGGGGCGCAGCAGGCGCGAAACCUCUGCAAUAGGCGAAAGCUUGACAGGGUUACUCUGAGUGAUUUCCGUUAAGGAGAUCUUUUGGCACCUCUAAAAAUGGUGCAGAAUAAGGGGUGGGCAAGUCUGGUGUCAGCCGCCGCGGUAAUACCAGCACCCCGAGUGGUCGGGACGUUUAUUGGGCCUAAAGCAUCCGUAGCCGGUUCUACAAGUCUUCCGUUAAAUCCACCUGCUUAACAGAUGGGCUGCGGAAGAUACUAUAGAGCUAGGAGGCGGGAGAGGCAAGCGGUACUCGAUGGGUAGGGGUAAAAUCCGUUGAUCCAUUGAAGACCACCAGUGGCGAAGGCGGCUUGCCAGAACGCGCUCGACGGUGAGGGAUGAAAGCUGGGGGCACGAACCGGAUUAGAUACCCGGGUAGUCCCAGCCGUAAACGAUGCUCGCUAGGUGUCAUGCAUGGUGCGACCGUGUAUGGUGCCGUAGGGAAGCCGUGAAGCGAGCCACCUGGGAAGUACGGCCGCAAGGCUGAAACUUAAAGGAAUUGGCGGGGGAGCAC